GUAGGUGGCAAGCGUUGUCCGGAAUUAUUGGGCGUAAAGCGCGCGCAGGCGGUUCUUUAAGUCUGAUGUCGAAAGCCCACGGCUCAACCGUGGAGGGUCAUUGGAAACUGGAGAACUUGAGUACAGAAGAGGAAACGCGGAAUUCCACGUGUAGCGGUGAAAUGCGUAGAGAUGUGGAGGAACACCAGUGGCGAAGGCGGCUUUCUGGUCUGUAACUGACGCUGAGGCGCGAAAGCGUGGGGUAGCAAACAGGAUUAGAUACCCUGGUAGUUCCACGCGUAAACGAUGAGUGCUAAGUGUUAGGGGGUUUCCGCCCCCCUUAGUGCUGCAGCUAACGCAUUAACGCACUCCCGCCUGGGAGUACGGCCGCAAGGCUG
rnacentral:rRNA from 1 species